rnacentral:rRNA from 1 species
GGGUUGUGAGGUUAAGCGACUAAGCGUACACGGUGGAUGCCCUGGCAGUCAGAGGCGAUGAAGGACGUGCUAAUCUGCGAUAAGCGUCGGUAAGGUGAUAUGAACCGUUAUAACCGGCGAUUUCCGAAUGGGGAAACCCAGUGUGUUUCGACACACUAUCAUUAACUGAAUCCAUAGGUUAAUGAGGCGAACCGGGGGAACUGAAACAUCUAAGUACCCCGAGGAAAAGAAAUCAACCGAGAUUCCCCCAGUAGCGGCGAGCGAACGGGGAGCAGCCCAGAGCCUGAAUCAGUGUGUGUGUUAGUGGAAGCGUCUGGAAAGGCGCGCGAUACAGGGUGACAGCCCCGUACACAAAAAUGCACAUACUGUGAGCUCGAUGAGUAGGGCGGGACACGUGGUAUCCUGUCUGAAUAUGGGGGGACCAUCCUCCAAGGCUAAAUACUCCUGACUGACCGAUAGUGAACCAGUACCGUGAGGGAAAGGCGAAAAGAACCCCGGCGAGGGGAGUGAAAAAGAACCUGAAACCGUGUACGUACAAGCAGUGGGAGCACGCUUCGGCGUGUGACUGCGUACCUUUUGUAUAAUGGGUCAGCGACUUAUAUUCUGUAGCAAGGUUAACCGAAUAGGGGAGCCGAAGGGAAACCGAGUCUUAACUGGGCGUUAAGUUGCAGGGUAUAGACCCGAAACCCGGUGAUCUAGCCAUGGGCAGGUUGAAGGUUGGGUAACACUAACUGGAGGACCGAACCGACUAAUGUUGAAAAAUUAGCGGAUGACUUGUGGCUGGGGGUGAAAGGCCAAUCAAACCGGGAGAUAGCUGGUUCUCCCCGAAAGCUAUUUAGGUAGCGCCUCGUGAAUUCAUCUCCGGGGGUAGAGCACUGUUUCGGCAAGGGGGUCAUCCCGACUUACCAACCCGAUGCAAACUGCGAAUACCGGAGAAUGUUAUCACGGGAGACACACGGCGGGUGCUAACGUCCGUCGUGAAGAGGGAAACAACCCAGACCGCCAGCUAAGGUCCCAAAGUCAUGGUUAAGUGGGAAACGAUGUGGGAAGGCCCAGACAGCCAGGAUGUUGGCUUAGAAGCAGCCAUCAUUUAAAGAAAGCGUAAUAGCUCACUGGUCGAGUCGGCCUGCGCGGAAGAUGUAACGGGGCUAAACCAUGCACCGAAGCUGCGGCAGCGACACUAUGUGUUGUUGGGUAGGGGAGCGUUCUGUAAGCCUGUGAAGGUGUGCUGUGAGGCAUGCUGGAGGUAUCAGAAGUGCGAAUGCUGACAUAAGUAACGAUAAAGCGGGUGAAAAGCCCGCUCGCCGGAAGACCAAGGGUUCCUGUCCAACGUUAAUCGGGGCAGGGUGAGUCGACCCCUAAGGCGAGGCCGAAAGGCGUAGUCGAUGGGAAACAGGUUAAUAUUCCUGUACUUGGUGUUACUGCGAAGGGGGGACGGAGAAGGCUAUGUUGGCCGGGCGACGGUUGUCCCGGUUUAAGCGUGUAGGCUGGUUUUCCAGGCAAAUCCGGAAAAUCAAGGCUGAGGCGUGAUGACGAGGCACUACGGUGCUGAAGCAACAAAUGCCCUGCUUCCAGGAAAAGCCUCUAAGCAUCAGGUAACAUUAAAUCGUACCCCAAACCGACACAGGUGGUCAGGUAGAGAAUACCAAGGCGCUUGAGAGAACUCGGGUGAAGGAACUAGGCAAAAUGGUGCCGUAACUUCGGGAGAAGGCACGCUGAUAUGUAGGUGAAGUCCCUCGCGGAUGGAGCUGAAAUCAGUCGAAGAUACCAGCUGGCUGCAACUGUUUAUUAAAAACACAGCACUGUGCAAACACGAAAGUGGACGUAUACGGUGUGACGCCUGCCCGGUGCCGGAAGGUUAAUUGAUGGGGUUAGCGGUAACGCGAAGCUCUUGAUCGAAGCCCCGGUAAACGGCGGCCGUAACUAUAACGGUCCUAAGGUAGCGAAAUUCCUUGUCGGGUAAGUUCCGACCUGCACGAAUGGCGUAAUGAUGGCCAGGCUGUCUCCACCCGAGACUCAGUGAAAUUGAAC